rnacentral:rRNA from 1 species
UACAGAGGUGGCGAACGUUGUUCGGAUUUACUGGGCGUAAAGGGUCCGCAGGCGGUCCGGUGUGUCAGAUGUGAAAGCCCACAGCUUAACUGUGGAAUUGCAUUUGAAACUGCCGGACUAGAGUACUGGAGGGGAGAAGGGAACACUUGGUGUAGCGGUGAAAUGCGUAGAUAUCAAGUGGAACACCGGUGGCGAAGGCGCUUCUCUGGACAGAUACUGACGCUCAUGGACGAAAGUUAGGGUAGCGAAAGGG